GACCUGGGUUCCCAGGGCACAUGAACCCCUGCCAGAUACAUCUCUGACUCUUUUGGGGUGAUUCUUGUGGAUUCUCAGGCUUCUUCAUUCUGGGGCUCCCGAAACUGCAGAGGUUGCAGGCCCAUCAUGACAAGAUUCUGGAAAGGACCCUCCCCAAGCUGAAGCAGCACCUGACACCAUUCUAACUCAUGCUGGGACUAUUGGAUGCAUAUAACCUGGAGCGGGAGGGAAUGCUCAUGGCCAUGCCCUAUACAGUCAUCAAGCUGCACAGAAAACACCUCCUGAAGCUGCCCCUGGAGGAUUGUAUGAGUUUUUCCAGUCCUCCAUCUCCAAGCCCUGGGCCCUGGAUGAUGACACUCUGA
rnacentral:lncRNA from 9 species